rnacentral:lncRNA from 1 species
UCCUAUGUAGUCUACUAUUCCUCUCCAUCCAAAUUUUGUAGAUACAAGCACUCCAAGGUAGUCUUAAGAUAACAGAUAUAAAUGUCUUUCCCUUUAAUCUGUGCUGAGCCCAAGUAAGUUCAUUAUUCUAGUCUCCAGUGUUUCUAGUCAAGCCACAAAGUUGCAUUACCUUCUCCCAAAUUUGCUUACUGAAGGAGCAAGAGAAAAAUAAGUGAUCUCGUCUCCUCAGCAUUACCACAAGAUGAGCAGGCAGCAUCAAUCAAACACCUGGACCUGAUCCUUCCUUUGGUAAAAAGCCUAUCGAGGACAGCCAUCCAGGCCAUGAGAACAUGCUUGGGAAACCGUAUGAGCCUAGGCCAAGCAACCUUCUCCUGCUCAUCUCUGACAAUAUUCUAAGUCUUUUCAGUGGUGUAAGAAACAGCUAAAAUGAACCAAACCCUAUUUCCUUGUUGCUAUGUAACCAAUUGAAAGGGCAAGACUUCUCAAAGCUUCCUCCGAGUGCACUGCUACCAAAAGUAGG